GACGAACGCUGGCGGCAGGCUUAACACAUGCAAGUCGAACGCCCCGCAAGGGGAGUGGCCGACGGGUGAGUAACGCGUGGGAACAUACCCUUUUCUACGGAAUAGCUCUGGGAAACUGGAAUUAAUACCGUAUACGCCCUACGGGGGAAAGAUUUAUCGGGGAAGGAUUGGCCCGCGUUGGAUUAGCUAGUUGGUGGGGUAAAGGCCUACCAAGGCGACGAUCCAUAGCUGGUCUGAGAGGAUGAUCAGCCACAUUGGGACUGAGACACGGCCCAAACUCCUACGGGAGGCAGCAGUGGGGAAUAUUGGACAAUGGGCGCAAGCCUGAUCCAGCCAUGCCGCGUGAGUGAUGAAGGCCUUAGGGUUGUAAAGCUCUUUCACCGAUGAAGAUAAUGACGGUAGUCGGAGAAGAAGCCCCGGCUAACUUCGUG
rnacentral:rRNA from 1 species